UUUUAAAAAUGGAUAAUUUAAAAAUCUGAAGAUGUGCAAUUGGGCUUGGGGAUUGGACAGUGCAAUAGCAGCAGAAGAAGAAAUGGAGAAGGCAGAAGGGAGCAAGAAGACGUGCUGCAAAAGGAAGAUAAGCAAAUCUGAAACCUCUUCCAUUACCAUGAACAUACCAUCUUUUCUCUCAUAUACUGGCAACCUUCUGCAAGCAUGGAAACCGACCUAACUCUCUUCUCAAAGUCCCUUAAAUUCUCUUCCCCUUUUCAUCCUCUCUUUGCUCCCCAAUCUUCUCAGUCCUCUCUCUCUCUCUCUCUCUAUAUAUAUAUAUAUAUAUAUAUUAUACCUGUUUUAUCUUAAUUCACUAAAAUUGUAUCUUAGAUAGCGGCGGUGUCCAGACACUGCUUGUUGGACCGCAAAGAUUGUGGGGCCCGCUUCGCUAUUGUCCUUGGAAAUGAAUGAACGAAUUGCUUUGGAUAUUGAAAUUGUGAAGUUUUUUUAUCUCAGCUUUAAGGAGUUCCAUUAGGAGAGUUUCAAUGGCUGCGUGAAAUGCUCUUCUGGAUUUGUCUCCGUUGGAAGGCUGUGGUUAUUGGAGUUCUCUGCUCUACAGAAGCUUAUGUGAGUAUUUUAAUUAUGCUUCUUCAAUUGGGUGCUAUUUCAGAUACACCCCCAAAGUUGUGGUUAAAGAAUGUUCUUCUGUUUUUUAUGUCUGAAUCAAGGAAUUAUUAGGAAUGAUGUGGCUGUCAAAACUCAAACAUGUCCAGUUAUGAUUGUCAAUUCUGUACUCUCAUCAGUGCAGUAUGAGUAGCUGCAUUUGUUUAGUCUAGUUGGUUUGGAUGUCCUUUUCUUGGCAAAUGGAUCGUUAGGCUCUGUUUGGAUGAGGGUGAAGGAGGGGUAAAAAAAAGGUAAAGAGGAAAAUUAACUUAUAUGCCCUGUUUGGAAUGAGCUAAAUUCAUAGAGGGUAUGUAAGCAAGGGUAAGCCCCUUGCCCCUCAAAUCUCAAUUUUCUUUACGCCCAUUUGGGGUGCUAGGAGGGAUAAGGAGGGCAGGGUAAGGAGGAGGAGGGGAGGGUAGGUGAGAGUUAUGAUUAUUUUGUUUCUUGCAUAUUUAUAUUUAAUCUUACUUCACCUCAUUUGCAAAUAUGAGGAAUAUAUAUUUCCCUAUUUACCUUUUCAUUAAUUCAGCCUUUUUAAAAUAUGAUUUUUUUUAUUAUAAUCUUCUUUAUUUUUUCUUCUCCUUACCUUUCUUACCUUUCCAUUUAUUAACCUUCCUUCACCCUAUCCAAACAAAGCCUAUCCUGGUUGACCUUCAUGUAUUUAGAAUGCUAUGGACCAUAUCCUUUGAUCCUUUCUUACCUUUCCAUUGAGGACCAUAUCCUUGUUGACCUUCAUGUUUUUAGAAUGCUAUGGUUAACGCAUGAGAAAUUGCCUACCCUACUCAAUCCACUGAACUUUUGUUAAGCAUUUAGAAAUUGAAGUUUUGCCAAUAAGCAUCCCACAUGUGGAUGAGUGGUAAAUUGCAGAAGAAGCAAAAGAAAGUUAUGAGCAGUAGGACGUUGCUGUUUGUAUCACUUAAUUCAUAGGAGGGUCAGUAUUUCUGUCUGCUUCAUUAUCAAAAAAAUGCUUAUAUGUUUAUUAAAUUCACAGGCGGGAAAAUAUAUUUGUAGCAUGGUUUCCAAAUCUUCUCCUUCCUACCUUGUUUCAGCAUUGAUGGUGAAAGAAGCAGCAGUUUAUGCAUGUGAAGCUGCAGGAAUACCAAAAGCCAAAGUUGGAGGCUUAAUGGCUUCUUAAUAAGAGUUUCAUUUCUUGUCUGUCUAUUACUUCAGAUGAAUUAGACAUCUUAAAUUUCCUGGAGGGGGUAAGAAAUGAAUUGGGCAUACCUAUAAUAUAUCAGUAGGAUUUAUGGGCAUUAAGAACAGAGAAACAAUAAAAAAGUAAGAUGCAUUUCUUCCUGAGAAUUUAGAUCCAUUUUGCAUUAGGAUUUCCAUUUUUUCCUCUAUUGAUGAUAUUAUGAAGUGUGAAGAAGCAUUCAAAGAGGGUUAUACAC